rnacentral:rRNA from 1 species
GAUGAACGCUAGCGGCAGGCCUAACACAUGCAAGUCGAGGGGUAACGUGAGUGCUUGCACUUGACGACGACCGGCGCACGGGUGCGGAACGCGUAUGGAACCUACCUUUAUCAGGGAGAUAGCCCAUGGAAACGUGGAUUAAUAUCCCAUAGUAUUAUUUUAUCGCCUGAUAGAAUAAUUAAAGAAUUUCGGAUAGAGAUGGCCAUGCGUAUCAUUAGCUAGUAGGCGAGGUAACGGCUCACCUAGGCGACGAUGAUUAGGGGUCCUGAGAGGGAGAUCCCCCACACUGGUACUGAGACACGGACCAGACUCCUACGGGAGGCAGCAGUGAGGAAUAUUGGGCAAUGGAGGCAACUCUGACCCAGCCAUGCCGCGUGCAGGAAGACGGCCCUACGGGUUGUAAACUGCUUUUAUACAGGAAGAACACCACCCACGUGUGGGUGACUGACGGUACUGUAAGAAUAAGGACCGGCUAACUCCGUGCCAGCAGCGCGGUAAU